UUGGAAAUGCUGGAUUUGGGGUUAUUCAAAUUUGUUACAGGAAAUGGAUCACUUGUGAUUUAUGAAAGAAAACAAUUUUUAAUUAAAGUAUAUUUGCAUGAUAGGUGAGUACAGACCAUGAAUGUAUGGGCAUCAUUUGCCAUCAAGCCUAACAAAAGAUGAUGCUAUAUGUUAUAUUAUUGUUUCCUUUGAAGUCAUAUCCAUCCUACUUUUUUUUACC
rnacentral:lncRNA from 1 species